rfam:Trichobilharzia regenti genome assembly, scaffold: TRE_scaffold0000255
GUACUGAUGAAGAGUCCCAAACUAGGACUAAAUAGCUGUCCAGUAC